rnacentral:misc_RNA from 1 species
AAUGAUAAAAAAAUUAAUCAUAUUAUUAUAAAAUAAAUAAGCACAUAUUUUAAAAAUUUUUAAAAUAAAAUAAGUUUUAAGUACAUUUUAUAAAUGAUUUAUUUUUUUAAUUAUGGAAGAUGUGAAUAUCUUUUUUUUAGUUAGAAAAUUGUUUUAUAUAACUUAUAGGUGAACACGUUUUUCAUGUUUUUCUUUGUUUUCUUUAGAAAAUAAAAGGUUGAGUUUUAUAAGAAAGUGAAAAAUAAAAAAACAAAUAACUAUUUUUCACAAGUAAAUAUGCCCUAAAAGUUCCCAAGCCUUUUGGAUCUUGUAGACUUGUACAACUAAUUACCUCUUUGUAAAUAUAAAGAGUAGCACAAGCAUGUCUAACACAAUGAAUUUUUUAAUUGCAUUUUCAAAUUAAUCACUCUUGAAGGUCAAACAUGACUUUGCAUGAGCUGUUCAAUAAACCUAAAUAUUCAGAUAUCAUCCAAUACAAGAACUGUCUUACAACUACAGCAUAAAGCAAAAAUAAGUUCCAUCUCAAAAACUAUCAAAUAAGCAACAAUAGCAAUAACAACACAACAAAAAGCAAAUUCCUUGAAGAUUGUAGAAAAAGUGAAAAGAACUACUUAAAAACAGAGCAAAUCAAGCCAGGUAUCCCAUCCCAAAGUACCUAUUGACAGCAUGAACUGAAAAGCACCAGGAACAUCAAUAGCCAAUGUAACUGGGAUCUCCAAUGUACUCUGCAAUUUGUUCAAGUUUGACAUUGAGUAAUUCAUGAGUAUCAGCAUCUUGCACAACCCCAGUCUCUUGGUCCAAAUCCCUCUGAACCAAAUUACCAUACACCCCCUCAUGCUUCCCAUACAGAACAAGGACAGGACCCCCACGACGUGGUAAUGCAGUCUCAAGAAGAUCCUGAUCUACCCCUUGUACCAACUCCUUAGUCUCAUCCAUGGAUAUAUCACAUGCAUAUGGACCAACCACAUCUACCACCUCCCCCUUCUUCAAAUAAAAUCUGCCUCCUUUCAGGUCCUUGCUUAUAAUUCUGACUCGAAUGUGAUUUCUAAGCCAUCGCUUUCCAUCAUCUUUCUCUUGACCACCGUCUCUCCUCACAGUCUCUCUGUUUUCUUUACUUGAUUCAGUAAUGCGCUUUUGAUUAUCCCUAUACUUCGAUUGCUUGCUUUCUAUCUGUAAAGCUUUCAACUUCCUCAAGCACUUCUCUUCUUCUCUAGAGCCCAAAUCAGCAAUAUCAGAAAUAUGCAGUUUAAGCUCCUCAUCGCUUCCUGAAAGCUUAAAAACAACCCGACCAUCAUCUAACCUCUUUGAAAUUCUACCCUUUAACCCCAAAAUACCUCUUCCACCAGCAAUAACUCUGACAUCUUUACCAACGAAGAAACCAUCACCAUGAUCAUCUCUGACUCUCUCUAUUUUCCUCUCCUUUUGUCUAUCUCUAUCGUUAAUACUAGCACUAGUAGUAUUGGAAGCAGGAGGAACAAAGCCUAAUCCUUCUUUAUCAGUUCUCUUGUGGUAUUGCUUGACUUUGACAUCUUCCUUAGCAUUUCUUCCGAUACCUCUGCCUUCAUGCCAACCAUAGCCAGCCAGCAAAGCCGCACCAAAACCUUCCACAGGCACAUCCUUGAACUCCUCAAAUCCUCGAUCCUCCGGCAACCGCUGGAGAUCGUACUUCAACUUCUCCAGCAACAAAUUCUCAGUAGUUUCUGCUGUCUGAUGAGCUUUGGUUCCUUCGACACCAGCGUCGAAACUGCUUUGCUGUCGGAUAUUGAGGCCGUAGGACAUACUCUUAUCGUCGUCGCCGUGGCCAUCGGUGGCGACCUCGAAGCGAAGGCCUUCAGAGUCGGACUGGAGAGUGGGAAGGAGGUUGAGGUUCUUCAUUCGCUUGUGGGGUCUCCAUUCGUUCUCUUUUGGGGGGAUAAUGAGAUUCCGAUUGGAAUUGGCUAGGGUUUUUGAGGGAUCAAAUUCUGUGACGUAUUCUUUUACGGUGCCAUUGUUUUGGGUCACGUUAACGCUAUCGAUUUCAGAUGAGGUUUUAGGCUUAGGUGUGGGUUUGGGGGCUGAUUUUGGGAUUGAGAAGGAGAGUUUCAUUGCCU